ensembl:ncRNA R07B1.20 ncRNA
CCACUUCCCGCCUUCUUAUACUUCCUGUCGCCGUUUCAUAGAGGCUCAUAGAGCUUUGACUAUUAAUUACAAGAGUAUCCUCUCCGUCGCUCCGUUUUCUCUAAAUCCCUUCUUUUGCUCAAUUAUUAUUACGGUAACAUAUGUUGUUACGCAUU